AUCUAGGCCAAGAUAUUACAGGACGAAGAGAGGAGAGCACUAUUAAAAGCUGGAGCUGGAGAAAUGAGAGAGAAUAGCCACCAUAAAAAUCUGACUUUUUAUUCACCUCUUCCUUCUGGAAAUUGGAGGCCAGUCUCAUGUCUGGGUGACAAAACUUGCCCAAGCAUUAUGAGCUGAAGUGACUUCCAGUUGGAAAGGUCUGCUUUGGGAAGGAAAUCUGAUGGAGACUGGGAAAGGUGGAAGAUGCCUGGGAGACAUGAGCCUGUAGUCCAUGAAGGCAAUAGGAAAGCCACUCAUGGGAACUGGUGAGUGAGGCUUUGAUUCUUCAGACUCAGUUAGGCACUAUGCCAUUCAAUACCCACACUCUGAAAUACCAAGAAGUGCUUUGAAAACUAUCAUCUCCUGAAGACAUAUCCCGUCUCUGGAAUGAAUUCUAUAGCCUCUAUUUAUAGGAAAAGUGCUGCUGAAGUCACAUACGCUGAAUUCUCAGUGUAGAUUUAAGUGAAAUAAUGUUAAAACCCCC
rnacentral:lncRNA from 1 species